AUCUCUUUGCCAUUUGGCUUAGAUCAAGUGUAGUAUCUGUUCUUUUCAGUGUAACAACUGAAAUGACCUCAAGAAGGUUCAUUACCUUUGUUACAGAGCCUUUUUUUGGAAUUCCUUGCCCAUUUUUUUAAAAGAUGGGUGAGGGGGUAGAGGAUUAGUAAGUUCUGUCGUCUUAC
rnacentral:snRNA from 1 species